UACAGAGGUCUCGAGCGUUAGGCGGAAUCACUGGGCUUAAAGCGUGUGUAGGUGGAUGCCUAAGUACCUUGUGAAAUCCCACAGCUUAACUGUGGAACUGCUUGGUAUACUGGGUGUCUUGAGUCACUCAGGGGCGAGCGGAACAAAUGGUGGAGCGGUGAAAUGCGUAGAGAUCUGGAGGAACACCGACGGCGAAGGCAGCCUUCUGGGCCAACACUGACGCUCAUGCACGAAAGCGUGGGGAGCAAACAGG
rnacentral:rRNA from 1 species